rnacentral:lncRNA from 1 species
CUAUCAAUAGUGAACAAGUCACAGAUUCAUAGAUAUUCGUUUACUUCAAAACUCAUGUAAGUCAGCCAUCAGAAGAGAGACAAGCUGAAAAUUCUAGCAUCUUGGCUCACAUUAAUCGAAAUAUCAUCCCCAACUAACCAUCUGAUCUGAACCAGUACCGUAGAGGCACGAGUAUAAAUCUUCUUGUAGAUGAAGGAGCAAUCAUAAAUAAUCCAGACCUAAGAUUUCUGACCCAUGUCUCGCAUCGAACUCUCAUUAACCCC